rnacentral:ncRNA from 1 species
ACGGAAGCCGGGUGAGGCCAGGGCCGAGCCGGAAGAGAAGGCUCGAUCUCCCGAUCUCGGCUCCCCGGCACGGGUCCCGGAACCCACGCGGAGCACAUACCGCGGAAUAGGUAAAAGUGUUGCGGGCCUGCGUAAUUGCGAAAAUCGGACGGCCACGACAGCCCUUUGGGUGGGGCAGCAGCCGAAGCGAAUCGCAAGGACGCCGAGGCCACCCACGCAACCCACACGGCACGCUUGGUAACCGGAGACCCGUGUUAGCGGGCGGUGAGCCGAUUCGGUCGCAGGACCGAUCGGCGCGCCGCCCGCUUGGCGUU